UAGCGGCGGACGGGUGAGUAACACGUGGGUAACCUACCUAUAAGACUGGGAUAACUUCGGGAAACCGGAGCUAAUACCGGAUAAUAUUUCGAACCGCAUGGUUCGAUAGUGAAAGAUGGUUUUGCUAUCACUUAUAGAUGGACCCGCGCCGUAUUAGCUAGUUGGUAAGGUAACGGCUUACCAAGGCGACGAUACGUAGCCGACCUGAGAGGGUGAUCGGCCACACUGGAACUGAGACACGGUCCAGACUCCUACGGGAGGCAGCAGUAGGGAAUCUUCCGCAAUGGGCGAAAGCCUGACGGAGCAACGCCGCGUGAGUGAUGAAGGUCUUCGGAUCGUAAAACUCUGUUAUUAGGGAAGAACAUACGUGUAAGUAACUGUGCACGUCUUGACGGUACCUAAUCAGAAAGCCACGGCUAACUACGUGCCAGCAGCCGCGGUAAUACGUAGGUGGCAAGCGUUAUCCGGAAUUAUUGGGCGUAAAGCGCGCGUAGGCGGUUUUUUAAGUCUGAUGUGAAAGCCCACGGCUCAACCGUGGAGGGUCAUUGGAAACUGGAAAACUUGAGUGCAGAAGAGGAAAGUGGAAUUCCAUGUGUAGCGGUGAAAUGCGCAGAGAUAUGGAGGAACACCAGUGGCGAAGGCGACUUUCUGGUCUGUAACUGACGCUGAUGUGCGAAAGCGUGGGGAUCAAACAGGAUUAGAUACCCUGGUAGUCCACGCCGUAAACGAUGAGUGCUAAGUGUUAGGGGGUUUCCGCCCCUUAUUGCUGCAGCUAACGCAUUAAGCACUCCGCCUGGGGAGUACGACCGCUAGGGUUGAAACUCAAAGGAAUUGAC
rnacentral:rRNA from 1 species